AAAAGACUUAGUCCUAACCUUACCGUUAAUUCUCGCUAGACAUAUACAUGCAAGUAUCUGCGCCCCAGUGUAAAUGCCCUUAUUCUCUCAAUAAGACAAAAGGAGCAGGCAUCAGGCACACCCAAUUAGCUGUAGCCCAAGACGCCUUGCUUAGCCACACCCCCACGGGUACUCAGCAGUAAUUAACAUUAAGCAAUAAGUGUAAACUUGACUUAGUUAUAGCGACCCAAGGGUUGGUAAAUCUUGUGCCAGCCACCGCGGUCACACAAGAGACCCAAAUUAACUGUAUGCGGCGUAAAGCGUGGUAGUAUGUUAUCAUAGAAAUUAAGAUCAAAAUGUAACUGAGCUGUCAUAAGCCCAAGGGACACCUAAGACCAACCAUAAGGCGAUCUUAACACCUAGUGAUCUAUUAAACCCCACGAAAGCUAUGACCCAAACUGGGAUUAGAUACCCCACUAUGCUUAGCCCUAAAUCAUAGUGCUUACCCUACUAAAGCAUUCGCCUGAGAACUACGAGCGCAAACGCUUAAAACUCUAAGGACUUGGCGGUGCCCCAAACCCACCUAGAGGAGCCUGUUCUAUAAUCGAUACUCCACGAUACACCCGACCUCUCCUAGCCAAGGCAGCCUACAUACCGCCGUCGCCAGCUCACCUCCCUUGAAAGUGCAAUAGUGAGCACAAUAGCUCAAGCUCGCUAAUAAGACAGGUCAAGGUAUAGCCCAUGGAGUGGAAGAAAUGGGCUACAUUUUCUAAUAUAGAAUACUUACGGAAGGGGGUGUGAAAUCACCCCCAGAAGGCGGAUUUAGCAGUAAAGCAGGACAAUAAAGCUUGCUUUAAGUCGGCCCUGGGGCACGUACAUACCGCCCGUCACCCUCCUCACAAGCUACAAACUCCUAUAACUUAAUACACUACUUAGCUGAAGAUGAGGUAAGUCGUAACAAGGUAAGUGUACCGGAAGGUGUACUUAGCAUACC
rnacentral:ncRNA from 1 species